rnacentral:rRNA from 1 species
UGGGAACGCGAAGAACCUUACCUACUCUUGACAUCCAGAGAACUUAGCAGAGAUGCUUUGGUGCCUUCGGGAACUCUGAGACAGGUGCUGCAUGGCUGUCGUCAGCUCGUGUUGUGAAAUGUUGGGUUAAGUCCCGCAACGAGCGUAACCCUUAUCCUUUGUUGCCAGCGAUUCGGUCGGGAACUCAAAGGAGACUGCCAGUGAUAAACUGGAGGAAGGUGGGGAUGACGUCAAGUCAUCAUGGCCCUUACGAGUAGGGCUACACACGUGCUACAAUGGCAUAUACAAAGAGAAGCGACCUCGCGGGAGCAAGCGGACCUCAUAAAGUAUGUCGUAGUCCGGAUUGGAGUCUGCAACUCGACUCCAUGAAGUCGGAAUCGCUAGUAAUCGUGGAUCAGAAUGCCACGGUGAAUACGUUCCCGGGUCUUGUACAC